GUGCGACUGGCAUUUCAGGGUGGACGAU
rnacentral:piRNA from 1 species